rnacentral:lncRNA from 1 species
AGAGAGCAACAUGUACUGACAUUUGAAGAACAGGUGGAGAAAGAACAUCCAACACAUGAUGUUGAACACUUUGUGGAGGAAGAAGAACAUCAUAUCCUGGUUGUUGAAGAAAUUGUGGAGGAAGAAAAACAUCAUGUCAUGGUGUUCAAGAAAUUGUGGAGAAGGGAGUGCAACAUGAGUUGGCUAUUGAACAACAACUAGCAAAUGUUGUUUUGAACUCGGAUGAAGGAGAAGCAAUCUGAGGGCAAUAGGGAAAGAUAAAAAGGGUUGUCCCAUUUAUCACUGGGAUGUUGAUUACCAGGUUUGUGUUCACUAUCAUGUUUUUGUAUUUCAAUUUAAUGUGGGUACAGAUAAAAUCAUACCUUUUAGGGGUCAUUUGUUACACAUGAUUGACUUGGAUUGGCUUGGACUAAAUUUAGUAUAAUGUUUGUUUCAUCUAAUCCUAGUUUUAAAUGGGAUUGUUAAUAUUGGGCCCACCAAAAACACCUCCUUAGGAGGGUACUAAUAAACCCAUGUGAAAGGGAAGAAUUAACUAGUCUCAUGCUCACCAAUGUAUAACAUCAAUAUAUUAUAUUGUAAUAAUAAUAACAUAUAUUAUUAUUAUAAUAUGGGUGGUGAUUUUCCCACUCCCCUUUUAUCAAUUUACACUCCCUUUUGUUUUUUAAUAUUUUUUACUAUAAGAUAAAAUGGAGUGUAAGUGAACAAAAGAGGAGUGAGAACAUACAAUUUUUAAAAAAUAGAGUGUAAGUGGAUACAAAGGGAGUGGGAA